rnacentral:ncRNA from 1 species
UAAAAGUUUUAUUUAAACUUAAAAUUUUAUUUUACCAUUAUUUAAUAUGUAAAAUUUAUUUUAAAAAAUAUUUUGCAGUUUUUAAUAUUAAAAAUUUAUUUAAGUAAGUUUUAGUAAAUGGUUAUAGAUUUAAUAAAAUUUGUGCCAGCAAUUGCGGUUAUACAAAUAAUUCUAUUAAAAUUUAUUGGUAAAUAAUUAAUUUUAUUAUUAAAAUUUAUUAUUAAAAUUUUUAAGUGGAAUUUAAAUUUUAAUAUAAUUUUUUUAUUAGUUUUUGAAGUUAUUAAAGUUAAAAUUAAACUAGGAUUAGAUACCCUAUUAUUAUAAUUGUAAAUUUAAAUACCAGAUUAGUAUUAGUUAUUUUCUUUAAAAUUAAAAAAUUUGGCGGUAUUUUAGUCUAUUCAGAGGAACCUGUCCUAUAAUUGAUAACCCACGAUUAGUUUAACUUUCUUUUUAUUCUUGUAUAUCAUUGUUUUGAAUAUUUUAUAAGAAUUUAAAUUUUCAAUAAGUAUAUAAUAGUUAAUUUCAGAUCACGGUGCAGUUUAUAGGGAAGAAGAGAUGGGUUACAUUAAAAUUAUUUUUGGUUUAAUAUUUUGAAAAGUGUUAUUAAAUUGGAUUUGAUAGUAAUAUUUUAUAUAUUUGAAAUAUGAUUUUAGCUCUAAAAUGUGUACAUAUUGCCCGUCGCUCUCAUUAAUUUGAGAUAAGUCGUAACAAAGUAGAUUUACUGGAAAGUGAAUCUAGGAUUAU